rnacentral:rRNA from 1 species
UACGGAGGGGGCUAGCGUUGUUCGGAAUCACUGGGCGUAAAGCGCACGUAGGCGGAUUGUUAAGUCAGGGGUGAAAUCCUGGAGCUCAACUCCAGAACUGCCUUUGAUACUGACGGUCUUGAGUUCGGGAGAGGUGAGUGGAACUGCGAGUGUAGAGGUGAAAUUCGUAGAUAUUCGCAAGAACACCAGUGGCGAAGGCGGCUCACUGGCCUGAUACUGACGCUGAGGUGCGAAAGCGUGGGGAGCAAACAGG